GAACGCUGGCGGCGUGCUUUACACAUGCAAGUCGAGCGAGGCGGCCCGCAAGGGUCAGUCGAGCGGCGAACGGGUGAGUAACACGUGGAUUAUCUACCCUAAGGUGGGGAACAACCCGGGGAAACUCGGGCUGAUACCGCAUGAUACCGAAAGGUCAAAGGAGGCUCGCAAGGGCUUCCGCCAUAGGAGGAGUCUGCGUCCGAUUAGCUAGUUGGUAGGGUAAUGGCCUACCAAGGCGACGAUCGGUAGCCGGCCUGAGAGGGCGAUCGGCCACACUGGGACUGAGACACGGCCCAGACUCCUACGGGAGGCAGCAGUGGGGAAUAUUGCACAAUGGGCGAAAGCCUGAUGCAGCGACGCCGCGUGAGGGAUGAAGGCCUUCGGGUUGUAAACCUCUUUCAGCAGGGAAGAAGUGCCUGGGUUUUCUUGGGUGUGACGGUACCUGCAGAAGAAGCACCGGCUAACUACGUGCCAGCAGCCGCGGUAAUACGUAGGGUGCAAGCGUUGUCCGGAAUUAUUGGGCGUAAAGAGCUUGUAGGCGGUUUGUCGCGUCUGCUGUGAAAUUUCGGGGCUCAACCCCGAACUUGCAGUGGGUACGGGCAGACUAGAGUGUGGUAGGGGAGACUGGAAUUCCUGGUGUAGCGGUGAAAUGCGCAGAUAUCAGGAGGAACACCGAUGGCGAAGGCAGGUCUCUGGGCCACUACUGACGCUGAGAAGCGAAAGCAUGGGGAGCGAA
rnacentral:rRNA from 1 species